GAAUAGGUGUACCGGCCAAAAACCACAAAUCUCGAUGCAAUAAAAAUAAAUGCGGAAAAUAAAAAGCACACCGAGAUUUACGUGGAAAAACUCCAACUUGGAGAAAAACCCACGGGACCAACACGCGAAAAAAUAAUUCACUAAGAGAAAAGAUUACAAGGUGAUUACCGACUGCACGGACUCAACCUCUCUUAACCUCCUAUGAAUCUCGCGCAAUCCUCCGGGUUGUCCACGCCCUCACGUUCGAAUCCACGAACGCCUCCACUUCGAAUCCACGAAGCUUCAAUCACGCCGAAUCCACGACGCCACUCGAAUCCACGAGCCCACGAUCCGAAUCCACGAACCGCCUUCGUUCACGCCGAAUCCACGACGCCGUUCAUGAAGAGCAUCAUGAUUAUGGUGAUCCUUCGCUUAGAGUAUCGAUGAAAACCAGGGAAAGAAACUCCAAGCGAAGCGGAGAUCAAAUCGACAUAUAGAUAUGAAAAUUCAAUAUCUCGAUUUGACCUAAAAGAGGCUUUAUGUAGAAAAUAGGUUUUAGAUGAAAUCCG
rnacentral:lncRNA from 1 species